ACAAGCACAUGAUAGUUAGAGCUACGCACGCACACGUCUGUCUCCACACAUUUUUAUGUUUUUACAUGAUUCACAUCAGCUGACAUGAUGUGAGAAAAAAAACAGAGCAACUCACCUCUCAAGGACGUCACUACUUCCUGGUUCUCCCUCGGGUCCUGAGGCAGCAUUCUCAAUCACCGCGGCAACCACGCAUCCAGCCUCCAUGAUGCUGCUUUUCUGCAACUGUCCGCUGUAGAGAAACGUGAGUGGGAGGAGAGGGAGGGAGACAAAGCCAGAGUGGGUGGGUGAGCGUAAGAGUAGAGCAUGGGAGAAGGAGUCCGAUCCUAUGAAGCCGCCAGACGUUAACACACUUGAGGCUGCAGCGUGCGCGACUCUCAAGGCUACAAUUCACAUAGCCCAGACUGUAAUCUGCGAUGACAUCAUGCUACAGUGCCAGGAGCUGCUUCAGGGAUAUAAAGAAUGUCAGACGGCACAUUCAUGAGAGGAUUUCAUGAGAAUAUCAGCUUCUUUUCUUUCUUCCUUUUUUUUUUUUUAUCAUUUUUGCACUGACAGGAGUUAGCUGGAGAAAACAUCCACCUUCAAGAAAAUGUCAAGGCUGUCAUGGCAGUUUCAGUAUGAGCCCCGGGAUAAAAUUAGUUCACUUAGCAUCAUUAUCUUUGCUCAUAGAUAUCCACUCACUGGCUAUUUUGUUUGGUGCAACUGUUAAGCUGCUAGUAAAUGCAAAUAUCUUAUCAGCUAAUCACAUGGCAACAACUCAAUUAAUUUUGGCACGUAGAAAUGUUCAGAACAACCUGCUUAAGUUUAAACUGAGCAUCCAAAUUGUUAAUAGAGAUGAUUCAAAUCACUUUGAAUAUGGCAUUGUUGUUGGUGGUCUGAGUAUUUCAGAAACUGCUGAUCCACUGGGAUUUUCCAACAAAAUCAUCUGUAAGGUUUACAGAGAUGGUCCAUAACUGAGAAAAUGUACAGUGAGCACAGUACUCUGGUUAAAAAUGACUUCGUACAUCAGAGGAGAAUGGCCAAAAUAGUUCACACUGAUGGGAAGGUAAUAGUAACUCAAAUAAUCAAUCAUUACAACCAAGCUAUGUACAAAAGCAUCUCUGAAU
ensembl:lncRNA